AUCGCUUCUCGGCCUUUUGGCUAAGAUCAAGUGUAGAUCUUAGCCGGAGGUGCCUGGAGACAUCGCCCCUUGGCCUUGUGGCAUCGGUACUUGUACCUUAAGCCACAUGCUGCUAUUAGGGGGCUUUCUAUUCUGGGCAACGAGGAGCGGUCACCCCUUGCUACAGCGGUAACCCUA
rnacentral:snRNA from 1 species